AAAUCCCAUAAAGUUGUUCUCAGUUCGGAUUGUAGUCUGCAACUCGACUACAUGAAGCUGGAAUCGCUAGUAAUCGUAGAUCAGCAUGCUACGGUGAAUACGUUCCCGGGUCUUGUACACACCGCCCGUCACACCACGAGAGUUUGUAACACCCGAAGCCGGUGGAGUAACCAUUUGGAGCUAGCCGUCGAAGGUGGGACAAAUGAUUGGGGUGAAGUCGUAACAAGGUAGCCGUAUCGGAAGGUGCGGCUGGAUCACCUCCUUU
rnacentral:rRNA from 1 species